GCCAGGCGUGAACGUUCACGCCUGUAAUCCCAGCACCUUGGGAGGCUGAGGCGGGCGGAUCACCUGAGGUCAGGAGUUCCGAGACCAGCCUGACCAAUAUGGUGAAACCCCAACUCUU
ensembl:misc_RNA Metazoa_SRP Metazoan signal recognition particle RNA